rnacentral:rRNA from 1 species
AGUGCUAAUACCGUAUAAUACCAACAACCGCAUGGUUGUUGGUUGAAAGAUGGUUCUGCUAUCACUAAGAGAUGGACCCGCGGUGCAUUAGCUAGUUGGUAAGGUAACGGCUUACCAAGGCAAUGAUGCAUAGCCGAGUUGAGAGACUGAUCGGCCACAAUGGGACUGAGACACGGCCCAUACUCCUACGGGAGGCAGCAGUAGGGAAUCUUCCACAAUGGGCGCAAGCCUGAUGGAGCAACGCCGCGUGUGUGAUGAAGGGUUUCGGCUCGUAAAACACUGUUAUAAGAGAAGAACGGCACUGAGAGUAACUGUUCAGUGUGUGACGGUAUCUUACCAGAAAGGAACGGCUAAAUACGUGCCAGCAGCCGCGGUAAUACGUAUGUUCCAAGCGUUAUCCGGAUUUAUUGGGCGUAAAGCGAGCGCAGACGGUUAUUUAAGUCUGAAGUGAAAGCCCUCAGCUCAACUGAGGAAUGGCUUUGGAAACUGGAUGACUUGAGUGCAGUAGAGGAAAGUGGAACUCCAUGUGUAGCGG